AUACUUGGUGUGAAUUGCAGAAUCCCGUGAACCAUCGAGUCUUUGAACGCAAGUUGCGCCCCAAGCCAUUAGGCCGAGGGCACGUCUGCCUGGGUGUCA
rfam:Corchorus olitorius cultivar O-4 contig11838, whole genome shotgun sequence.